ACCAAUGAUUGGGGUGAAGUCGUAACAAGGUAGCCGUAUCGGAAGGUGCGGCUGGAUCACCUCCUUU
rnacentral:rRNA from 1 species